CGCACCUUGCACCUUCUGGUAUUCCGGAAGGUACACCUGUUUGAGUGUCAUUAAAUUCUCAACCAUUCGAGCUUUGCGGUUCGGCAUGGAUUGGAUGUGGAGGUUGCGGGCUGCUGAACUGCGGUCGGCUCUUCUGAAAUUCAUUAGCGUCGGGGACUAGUAACUUGGUCUGACAAUGCCUUUGGUGUGAUAACUAUCUACGCCGUUGGUUAGGACUUUGAGAACGACCUUAGCUUUCUAAUCGUCUCUGUUUUCUGGAGACUAGCUCGCUUCAGAGCUAAGUACUUAAUGACUUGUGGCCUCAAAUCAGGUGGGACUACCCGCUGAACUUAA
rnacentral:misc_RNA from 1 species